rnacentral:rRNA from 1 species
AACGAACGCUGGCGGCAUGCCUAACACAUGCAAGUCGAACGAGACCUUCGGGUCUAGUGGCGCACGGGUGCGUAACGCGUGGGAACCUGCCCUUAGGUUCGGAAUAACUCAGAGAAAUUUGAGCUAAUACCGGAUAAUGUCUUCGGACCAAAGAUUUAUCGCCUUUGGAUGGGCCCGCGUAGGAUUAGCUUGUUGGUGGGGUAAUGGCCUACCAAGGCGACGAUCCUUUGCUGGUCUGAGAGGAUGAUCAGCCACACUGGGACUGAGACACGGCCCAGACUCCUACGGGAGGCAGCAGUGGGGAAUAUUGGACAAUGGGCGAAAGCCUGAUCCAGCAAUGCCGCGUGAGUGAUGAAGGCCUUAGGGUUGUAAAGCUCUUUUACCAGGGAUGAUAAUGACAGUACCUGGAGAAUAAGCUCCGGCUAACUCCGUG